rnacentral:lncRNA from 1 species
AGCUGAGACAGAUUCCCUAAGAGGUAUAUGGAAGACUCUUGAAAAUAAAGGACAGAAAAGCCUUAGGAAAUACAGAUGCAUUCAGGAAUCAGUACAACCAAUACAUAUCAUCUUUAAGGUUUUAAAAAGAAAGCCAGAACAUGUAUUUCUCUUGCUUAUCCCAGGCAGGAUCUAAAUAUGCAAAUACGCCACUUUUCUACAAGAUAACUCACUGUGAGUCAAUUGCAGGACAGACACAAUACAAUGGAGCCCGAAUUUCUCAGGCAAAGAAAUGUGGAUAUGGACAUCUAAGAGCUUUUAGAAUAUAAUUUCAAAGGCAGGACUGAUUCUGUGAAAAGCCAUCAAAUGUACUGUCUGACAGCUGUUCCUGCCCAGCAAAUGAACAGGAUACCUACGACACGGUGACUACCAUGUCAUCAGGGCCAUGAGAUGUACAGAGUUGACCAGGAAGCAACAGAAAUGUAACUCAAAACCUCAAAACAGAAAACCACGUAGCCUAUGACAGUGGUCGCUGGAGUAUAUAUUUUACUCUUGCGGAUUAGAAAAAAAUCUCAAGCCGUCAAAGAUAGCAAAGAAAAACUGGGGAAAACAAAGAAUUGAAAUCAACAUAUAAGAGACAAGACUACAAUUGCUACAUUUAUAGUAUUAGAAGGAAAAAAAAAAAAAAAACACUUCAAGGUGAGGGAAAAAAAACUGGAUGAGAGUUCAGAAAUCCCUCCAGGGCAUGAGCAAAAUGAAGUGAGAGACUCCUAGGUAGGAAGAUAAUACCAUGCCUGAAGUUAGCAAAGUUCUAGACGGGAUAUGACAGAGAUACCAUGCAGUUGAAAAACAAUUCCUGGGGUCACGUCAUACAGAUGGUUGCCCCACACCGCUCCAGGAAUUCAAACCAAGACGGCAUUCUGGGGGAGGCUGGACAAGGAACAAAUGGCUCUGUUGUAAAAGUUAAAUGAGAUUUCCAUGCCUGCCACUCCAAUGGCUCAGGGCACACCUCUAACUUUUUUUUUUUUUUUUUUUUUUUUGAGAUGGAGUCUCAGUCUGUCGCCCAGGCUGGAGUCCAGUGGUGUGAUCUCAGCUCACUGCAAGCUCUGCCUCUCGGGUUCACGCCAUUCUCCUGCCUCAGCCUCCCGAGUAGCUGGGACUACAGGCGGCCGCCACCAUGCCCGGCUAAUUUUUUGUAUUUUUAGUAGAGAUGGGGUUUCACCGUGUUAGCCAGAAUGGUCUCGAUCUCCUGAUCUCGUGAUCCGCCCGCCUCAGCCUCCCAAAGUGCUGGGAUUACAGGGGUGAGCCACCGUGCCUGCCCCAAUUUGUUUAUUUUUAAUUGGUCCUCAGCAGCAUCACCAUAGGAAUAGGAAAAACUAAAGUGGACCUGCAUCAGGACACCAUCAUCCACAAAAACCCAGCCUUGCUCCCUCAGGCGGCAACGGGCAGUAGGUUGGGGGACUACUUUAACAAGGGAAAACGACGGCAACAACGGACAGGCAAAAUCUCCCAUGCUUUCUGAGGAAAUAGACGUAAAAAAACAUGGAAGAAAAUAUUCAUUAAAUUUUUGUGUCUUAGCAAUUGCAGAUAUAAAUUAAGGUGCAUUUAAAAUGCCACCUUUAGAUGUCUGAUGUGUCCUGGGUGGGAUGAGUGUAUGCAUGCAUCGCACCUUGUAUUAUGUAAUGACUAGGCUGCUUGGUUCUACUGGAAUAUUCUGCCACAUCCGUAUUCAACAUCCAACAGAUCUGUACUGAACACCUGCUGUAUACAUGGAAUGAUUCUAAGUCCUGGGGAUAGAACAGUGAAUACAGCAGACAAAAUUUCUGCCUUCAUGGAACUUAUAUUCUUAUUAGCAAGAUAGAAAAAAAUAUACAAUAUACAUCCUAUAUAAGCACUAUAGAGAAAAUAAAGAAUAUAGCAGGGUAAAUUAAACCACUUGUGAUAGGAGCAAUAUUUGAGAUAGGUCACUUAGACAAACCCUCUCUGAGAGGAAUUGAGCCAUGAUACAUAUACCACCGUAUAUAAAUACUAUGUAGGACAGAGGGAAUAGCCAGGGCAAAAGCCCCUGUGCUUAUUAUAUUCAAGAACCACUGUGAGGCCAAAGAAAUGACAGACACUUGGACCAGCAUGCUGUCCAUGGAGUUGUGAGAAGUGUUUAGUAAUAAGUGAAAUACAUUUUGAAGGUAAAGUUGGCAUAGCAUGACUUCUUUCUUUCUAACCCAGAAACCCCACACACCAGAUUUCCUUUCUCAUAUGGACAUUUGUGACAGGCUCUCUAAAUUGAAUCCCCUUAGGCUAUUAACUGAAAGGAGCAUGGUGCUU